rnacentral:rRNA from 1 species
GACGAACGCUGGCGGCGUGCUUAACACAUGCAAGUCGAACGGAAAGGCCCUGCUUUUGUGGGGUGCUCGAGUGGCGAACGGGUGAGUAACACGUGAGUAACCUGCCCUUGACUUUGGGAUAACUUCAGGAAACUGGGGCUAAUACCGGAUAGGAGCUCCUGCUGCAUGGUGGGGGUUGGAAAGUUUCGGCGGUUGGGGAUGGACUCGCGGCUUAUCAGCUUGUUGGUGGGGUAGUGGCUUACCAAGGCUUUGACGGGUAGCCGGCCUGAGAGGGUGAUCGGCCACACGGGAACUGAGACACGGUCCAGGCUGCUACGGGAGGCAGCAGAAGGCAACGUUCCGCAAUGGGCGAAAGCCUGACGGAACAACGCCGAGUGAGAUAUGAAGGUCUUCGGAGCGGAAAGCUCGGGUAGUAGGGAAGAACAGAUGUGUAAGUAACUGUGCACAUCUUGACGGUACCUAAUCAGAAAGCCACGGCUAACUACGUG